CGAGAUUCCCGGCGACUGACUUCCUGUUUGCUCCAGCUGCACCCACGCGGGUUUGGGACCCUCCGGGAGGAUGGAAGUUCUACCCUGAAACCGUUACUGACGAAGUGAGCAAAGAAGGUGGAGGUCUGGGGCUCAUCAGGCUGAACGGUGCAGCAGAAGUCAAAUUCACCCCAUGCAGCACCAUGAAUCCGUCUUAACGCACAAGUCACAGUGUUAGGACUGCCCUGCAAACCCACAAUGAAAAGAAAUUUCCAAAGAAACUACAAGAAAUGAGAACACGUGCUCUGGACUGCUGCUGAAGCUCUUUGCCACAGCUGCAAGUUUUCUACUCGGGAACAAACCUAAUUUUCUAGGAUGAAUAGUUGCUUUCAGUUUUGUGCUUUCCAGCCGAGGGAUUUAAGGAAACAUCCCGUUAAGGUUAGUCCAUAUUCUCGCUGUCAUGCUCUUACCCUGGAGCCACUCAACAUGGCCAUGGGUCCUGUUUUGGAAUCAGUCACUCCGGCCAUCUGUGCUCCCACACCCUGCAGGUAAAGCACUUCAAGUUAGCUCACCAUGUAAGUCUUGAUGUGGAUGACUGCAGUUUAAACUCUAGUGUUUCUGAUGAGUAGCUCACCCCUGGGUGUGAUGGAUGUCCUGGAGGUCCUGGUUCUCCAGGCUGACCCGGUACGCCAGGCUCGCCAUCGUAACCCUGAGGACCCCGUGUUCCCUGGAGAGAAAAGGAGAGAGUUUGAUAAACUAUUUAGAACUUAUUUUUAUAACUACCUUCACUUUGACAUUGAUUUAUUCCUACCAGCAGUGGGUUUCAGCUCCUAUUCAGAUUUUAUUGUAAA